GACGAACGCUGGCGGCGUGCCUAACACAUGCAAGUCGAGCGAGGGGAGUUUCUUCGGAAAUAAACCUAGCGGCGGACGGGUGAGUAACACGUGGGCAGCCUGCCUUAUAGUGGGGAAUAGCCUCCCGAAAGGGAGAUUAAUACCGCAUAAUAUUACACUUUCGCAUGAAUGAGUAAUUAAAGGAGCAAUUCGCUAUAAGAUGGGCCCGCGGCGCAUUAGCUAGUUGGUGAGGUAACGGCUCACCAAGGCGACGAUGCGUAGCCGACCUGAGAGGGUGAUCGGCCACAUUGGGACUGAGACACGGCCCAGACUCCUACGGGAGGCAGCAGUGGGGAAUAUUGCACAAUGGGGGAAACCCUGAUGCAGCAACGCCGCGUGAGUGAUGAAGGUCUUCGGAUCGUAAAGCUCUGUCUUCAGGGACGAUAAUGACGGUACCUGAGGAGGAAGCCACGGCUAACUACGUGCCAGCCGCCGCAGUAACAC
rnacentral:rRNA from 1 species